GCUAAAAAGGCGCGACGGCGGCGGCGUGAGUGAUCUCGGGCGGCAUGAACGGCUAUGGGUUAUUCUUUCGCCGGGCGGCGGCGGUGCGUUCUUGCCCGGCGCUGGUGGCCUUCGCCCAGAGCCGGCGUCCGCUGCGCACCAGCCCGCCGAGCCGAGCUUUCGCCAAGGAGCUUUUCCUGGGCAAAAUCGAGAAGAAAGAAGUUUUCCCAUUUCCAGAAAUUAGCCAAGAUGAACUUAAUGAAAUCAAUCAGUUUGUGGGACCUGUAGAAAAAUUCUUCACUGAAGAGGUGGACUCUCGAAAAAUUGACCAGGAGGGGAAAAUCCCAGAGGAAACUUUAGAGAAACUGAAGAGCCUGGGGCUUUUCGGGAUGCAAGUCCCAGAAGAAUAUGGUGGCCUGGGCCUCUCCAACACCAUGUAUGCACGUCUGGGGGAAAUCGUCAGCCUGGAUGGGUCGAUCGCCGUGACCCUGGCAGCUCAUCAGGCCAUUGGCCUCAAGGGGAUCAUCUUGGUGGGCACCGAGGAGCAGAAGGCCAAAUACCUGCCCAGACUGGCAUCCGGUGAGCACAUCGCCGCCUUCUGCCUGACGGAGCUGAGCAGUGGGAGUGAUGCUGCCUCCAUCCAGGCCAGGGCCACGUUGAGUGAGGACAGGAAGCACUACGUCCUCAACGGCUCCAAGGUCUGGAUCACCAAUGGAGGACUGGCUGAUAUUUUUACCGUGUUUGCAAAGACCCAGGUUGCUGAUGCCGACAACUCAGUGAAAGACAAAAUCACAGCAUUUAUAGUCGAGAGGAACUUCGGCGGAAUCACGAACGGCAAGCCCGAGGACAAGUUAGGCAUCCGCGGCUCCAACACUUGUGAAGUCCAUUUUGAAAACACCAGGGUGCCAGUGGAGAAUGUCCUUGGAGAAGUUGGAGGCGGGUUUAAGGUGGCCAUGAACAUCCUCAACAGUGGGCGGUUCAGCAUGGGCUGCGCUGUGGCUGGGAUGCUGAAGAGACUGAUUGAAAUGACUGCUGAAUAUGCCUGCACGCGGAAGCAGUUUAACAAGAGCCUCAGUGAAUUUGGAUUAAUUCAGGAAAAGUUUGCGCUGAUGGCUCAGAAGGCCUACGUGAUGGAAAGUAUGGCCUACCUCACUGCGGGGAUGCUAGACCAACCAGGCUUCCCUGACUGCUCCAUCGAGGCUGCCAUGGUGAAGGUGUUCAGCUCGGAGGGCGCCUGGCAGUGUGUGAGCGAGGCGCUGCAAAUCCUCGGGGGCUCAGGCUACAUGAGGGGCUUCCCAUAUGAGCGUGUCCUGCGCGAUGCCCGCAUCCUGCUCAUCUUCGAGGGAACCAAUGAGGUUCUCCGGAUGUACAUUGCCCUGACGGGCCUGCAGCACGCUGGCCGCAUCCUGACCACGCGGGUCAAGGAGCUUAAGCAGGGCAAUGUGAACACCAUCAUUCAGACUGUCAGCCGGAGGCUUCAGGACUCACUGGGCCGAACUGUGGACCUGGGGCUGACAGGGAAGCUUGGAGCUGUGCACCCCAGUGUUGGGGACAGUGCCAACAAGCUUGAGGAGAACGUGUAUUCCUUUGGCCGCACCGUGGAGACUUUGCUGCUCCGAUUUGGCAAGUGGGUCCUCCAGCUCCGGCCUCUGUCCCCAGACUAUUGUGGAGGAGCAGCUGGUGCUGAAGCGGGUAGCCAACAUCCUCAUCAACUUGUACGGCAUGACGGCCGUGCUGUCACGGGCCAGCCGCUCCAUCCGGCUGGGGCUCCGGAACCACGACCAUGAGGUUCUGUUGGCCAACAUCUUCUGCCUGGAAGCUUAUUACCAGAAUCUCUUCACCCUGUCUCAGCUGGACAAAUAUGCCCCAGAAAAUCUAGAUGAACAGAUUAAGAAAGUGUCCCAGCAGAUCCUAGAGAAGCGAGCCUACGUCUGUACCCACCCUCUGGACAGGGUGUCCUGAAGCAGAGGGACAGUUCCCUGCUGCCCCAGGCCACGGCCGGUGCCAGACAACUCUCGGCUCUUCCAGAAGGCAGAGAACUCGGGGUGUUCCCAUGCUGAACUCUCUCCCCCCUCGGCCCCAGAAGGGCUUUCUCCUGGCCUGAGGGAGCCUCUUCCAGGCUUCAGCCUGCCGGUGCUGCUGGACGGGACGCCAGGCCCUGAACAGAGAUGGAGAGAGUGCAGUCGUGAGACCUUGGGUUUGGGGCUAAUCUGCUAGUUCAGGAGACAUCACAGUGGAAACGGGCUUGAGGUGGCAGGGAUACUACUUCCUCCAGCCUGCACACUCUCACUAGGAGCAAAAUACACUUAACCAUGUACCAGGAACCCGCCAAGAAUAUAAAGUGGCAAUUUGUGUUUA